UUGACUUGCACCCCCCCCCCCUAAUGUCAAGCUAUAUAAAUGUGAUGGGUGCUGUGUUGUAUGAGAGUGUGGAAGUGUGUGCAAACUGAGCAGAGCUGCAUGCGCGAGUGUGUGAGGCAGAACAGAGAGUGUUGUGAGUGUGAGAGAGAGACAGUUGAGAGUAGUAGCCUCCUCCUUCUCAUUGUAAUCAUUCUCCCGGUUAUAGUGAGAUUGGUGUGUUUCGUGGACGUAGGUCAGAUUGGACCGAACCACGUAAAUCUGGUAUUCUAUUUUUGUUAUUUAUUUUUGCCUGUGUGUGAUUGUUGCUUCUAGAUCCACCCCAACAAUUGGUAUUAGAGCGAGGUUGAAGCAAAAACGCCAGAUCGAAGCAAAAUUGUCGGAUUGGAGCCUUUGUCCAGGAGCUCAAAACUCAGUUUUGAGGUCACCAUCGCUUUCCCUUCGUUGAGACAAAGCCCACGGUUGUAAUUGGAGCUCGAAUGGAGCUUAGACGACACCGCACGCGCCUGAACGCGUCUCCGACGGUCGAACGAUGCUGCCACCCUCCCCCACGCGCCUCUUAGAAAUCGGCGAGUACACGCACGCGGCCGCAUUCGCCGGUGAACUCUCGGCGAGCUAAAGGAAGAAGAUGAUGUGACGUCAGCGCCACGUCACCCGGCCAUGUCAGCGCUAAGCCAGCGCCCUGUCAGCAGCUGCAUUAGGCCGCAACAUCGCCACGUCAACAGCCGAGUCAAUGGUCCAUGUCAGUCGCACAUCAUCCGGACCCCACGCCACGUUAGUUGCUAACCACCGUGGGUCCCACAGUGACACACACAGCAAGGUGGACCCCACAAUGCCCCCGUUAGCAGUGGUCCCCACCGUGCCAAGUCAACACACGGCGUCAGUUAAUAGCGUCACUAACGUCGUCAGAAUAUUUCGUCAAAAGGGAUAUUCCGUUAAAGUUGAAUGAGGUUUGACUAGAACUUUGACCGGGCUUUUCUAAGCCAUUUUGGGUCCGUUUUUCGAUGACUUGAACCAUUUCUAAGGUUUUCAACAGUUCUAGAUCCAACUGUGCUGUUCAUUUGAACUAAUUUCGUCUCUACAUUGGUUAAUCGAGAUGUCGAACGAAAAGAGCUCACAGAUCGAGAUGUUUGAUGGCACGAACUUUGGUUUCUGGAAAAUGCAGAUUGAGGACUACUUGUUCGGUAAGGAGUUGCACUCACUAUUGAAGGAAAAGUUGGAAUCUAUGAAGGAGAGUGAGUGGGAGUUGCUUGACCGGAAAGCUCUUAAAGCUAUCAGAAUGACGUUGGUAAAGUCUGUUGCCUCAAUAUCAAGCACUUGACAACCACCAAGUCCCUUAUGGAUGCGCUAUCCAAUAUGUACGAGCAGCCAUCAAUCUCGAAUAAGGUACAUCUAAUGAAAAGGUUGUUUACCAUGAAUAUGUCUAUAGGUGAAAGUUUUAGUAGACACCUGAAUAAUUCAAUGAGCUGUGGGAUUAACUUGCCUCGGUUGGAAUUACAUUUGACAGUGAGAUCUGUGCCCUACUAAUUCUUAGUUAGCUGCCUGAGAAUUGGAAAGGUAUUGUUAUUGCGAUUAGUAGCUUCGCAGGAAAAUCGAAGUUGAAGAACGAUGAGGUCAUCAACAUGAUUUUAACGGAAGAGAUCAGAAUGCAGUCGAACAAUGCCUCCAAUUCAAGUUCAGCCUUGAACGUGGAAAGCCGAGGAAAAUGAAGCAGGCAUAGACGAUCAAACAAAUGUGGCAGAUCUAGGACCAAGCGGUCUAGAUCCAUAAAUCCCAGAGGUUCCCAAGGCACAAAGAACGUUGAGUGCUGGAAUUGUGGAAAGGUUGGGCAUUUCAGAAACCAGUGCAAAAGUCUGAGAAAGGAAUCUGAGGCGAAGACAGAAGCAAAUCGCUCUUCUUCCUUAGGAGAAAAAGAUGCAUUGAUAUGCUCUCUAGAGAGCAAGCAAGAGUCUUGGGUCUUAGACUCCGGAACCUCAUUUCAUGCCACUUGCAGCAGAGAUUGCCAAGAGGAGUACACACCAGGUAAUUUUGGUAAGGUGUACUUUGGCAACGAUCAUCCUUGCGACAUAGCUGGCAAGGGAGUUGUGAAAAUCAAAAUAAACGGGUCAGUAUGGAAGUUGAAGGAUGUCAGAUAUAUUCAAGACCUGAGAAAGAAUUUGAUCCCAGUUGGUCAACUAGCAGAUGAGGGGAUACACGACGCCAUUCAUUGGCAAUGAAUGGAAAGUUUCAAAGGGUUCAUUAACGAUUGCGCGAUGUAAGAAAAGCGAAACACUUUAUCUAACCUCCAAUGUCUUCAUGUCUAUUUCAGUUGCUACAAGAAAUGACGAUAGAAACAUGUGACACCAACGACUCAGUCACAUGAGCGAGAAAGGACUCAGGGUGAUGCACUCAAAAGGAAAAUUGAGUGGUCUACGGUCCGUGGAGAUAGACAUAUGCGAGGAUUGCAUAUCCGGGAAAUAGAAGAGAGUUAGCUUCCAGACAAACACUUGUGCCCCAAAGAAGGAGAGACUAGAACUAGUCCACUCAGAUGUAUGGGGAUCGGCACCCGUCUCAUCCAUAGGCAGAAGAAAUUACUUCAUCACAUUCAUUGACGAUCAUUCUCGGAAGGUAUGAGUUUACUUUCUGAUGUAUAAGUCGAAAGUCUAUGCUUCCAAGGUAUGGAAAGCAAUAGUUGAAAACGAAACUGGUUUGAGAAUCAAGAAGCUUAGAACAGACAAUGGUGGUGAGUAUGAAAACACAGGUUCAAGAAAUUCAGCUAGGAGCACGGUAUCAGGAUGGAAAGAACUGUGCCAAGUACGCCUCAGCACAACGGCGUAGCUGAGCGGAUGAACCGAACGUUGACUGAAAGAGUCAGAAGCAUGCGUAUACGGUUAGGCUUACCAUUGCAAUUAGCUGAGCGGAUGAACCGAACGUUGACUGAAAGAGUCAGAAGCAUGCGUAUACAGUUAGACUUACCAUUGCAAUUGGCACAACAGUAUACUUGAUUAACAGGGGUCCAUCAGUACCAUUGGACCACCGUAUACCAGAAGAGGUAUAGAGCGGAAAAGAGGUGAGACUUUCACAUUUGAAAGUUUUUGGUUGUGUUACAUGUGUACAUAUCAGUGAUCAUGUUAGAAAUAAGCUUGAUCCUAAGUCCCGGAAAUACACCUUCGUCGGUUACGGCGAAGAUGAAUGUGGGUAUCGCAUUUGAGAUGAUGAAAACAAGAAGUUGAUUAGAAGCAGAGACGUGAUUUUCAAUGAAAAGGUGAUCUACAAAGACAGGCACACAGUAGAAUCUACCGAACCAGUUCAGAGUGAGUUAACCUAUGUAGAUAUGGAUGAUGUCCUAGAAGGUGUUUGGACGCAACAGAAGAACGCCGAGAAUCCUCAGGCGGAGGAACAAGUGGAGCAAAUCGUUGCACCACCGCCUCCUACUCUAGCUCUGGAGCUUAGGAGAUUUUCUCGGCCCUAUGUAUUAAAAUAGAAGGUAUAUAGCUUACUUCUUAUAAAUGGAGGAGAGUCUGAAUGCCAUGAUGAAGCAUGUCAGGUGGCAAAUACGAGCAAAUGGGAGCUUGCGAUGAAGGACGAGAUGAAGUCCCUCACCUCCAACAGAACGUGGGAACUAGCUGAGUUGCCCAAAGGUAAGAAGACUUUUCACAACAAGUGGGUGUAUAGGGUCAAAGAGGAGCAUGACGGCUCCAGGAGAUACAAGGCUCGAUUGGUAGUCAAAUACUUCAAGCAGAAGGAAGGAAUUGACUAUACCGACAUCUUUGCACCAGUUGUGAAGCUGACAACCAUCAGAUCAAUCUUAAGCAUUGUUGCCUCGAAGGGCCUACAUCUCGAGCAGUUGGAUGUGAAGAUGACAUUUCUUCACGGUGAUCUUGAUGAAAAAAUUUAUAUGCAUCAGCCAGAAGGAUUCUCAGAGAAAGGUAAAGAGAAUCUAGUGUGUAGGUUGAAGAAGAACUUGUACGGUCUUAAACAAGCUCUCAGACAAUGGUACCGAAAAUUUGGCGGCUUUAUGCACAGGAAUGAUUUUCAAAAGUGCAACGCCAACCAUUGUUGCUACUUCAAGAAGUAUCAUCCUAGCUAUAUCAUUCUGUUGUUAUAUAUGGAUGACAUGCUAAUCGCAGGACCAGAUAUAGAAGAGAUCAGGAAAUUGAAGUAGCAAUUGUCAAAGGAGUUUGACAUGAAGGACUUAGGCUCAGCGAAGCAGAUACUUGGAAUGCGGGUCUCCGAAGAUAAGCGACAGGGAACGUUGCAGUUAUCUCAGUUAGAGUACAUUAGUCGUGUUUUACAGAGGUUUAACAUAAGCAGCCCCAAAGCAGUAAAUACACCAUUGGCAGGACACUUUCGCCUUUCCAAGUAUUAGGCUCCCCAGACAGAUGAGGAGAAGGACUUCAUGGCUAAGGUACCUUACGCCUUAGCCAUUGGAAGUCUCAUGUACGCCAUGUUUUGUACUAGACUGGACAUUGGCCAAGCAGUGGAAGCUGUCAGCAGGUUCUUGUCAAAUCCAGGGAAGACUCAUUGGGAAGCAGUGAAGUGGAUCUUAAGGUACCUCAGUGGCACUGUUAAUAAGUGCUUAUGUUUCUGCAAAGGAGACUUGAAAGUCAAAGGGUAUGUAGAUGCCGAUUUUGCUGGUGAAGUUGAUCACCGCAGGAGCACCACUGGAUAUGUGUUCACUGUUGGCACAACAACUGUUAGUUGGAUGUCACAGAUACAAAAGAUUGUUAUCCUAUCCACUACAGAAGCUGAGUAUGUAGUAAUGACAGAACCCAGCAAAGAGAUGAUUUGGUUUCUGGGUUUAUUGAUAGAGCUUGGAUUAAAGUAGGAGAGGAAUGUUUUGUAUAGCAAUAGUCAGAGUGCGAUACAUCUUGUAAAGAACUCUGCAUUUCAUUCCAUAACCAAACCUUGAAAAGAGUCAAGGUUGCAAGAAUCUAGCAGACAUAUUGACGAAAGUGGUGACUACUAAGAAGCUGACGUUGUGCUCAGUUUCAGUUGGUCUUCAUGCUUGAAGACAGAUAUGAGCACAUCAUUGGCCUAUACACAUGUUGAGAUGCUGCCUCCGUCUCCAAGUGGGAGAUUGUUGAGAUUGCAGCUGGUGGAGUUGUUGGCAGCCGCACCAACCAGCUGAUUAUGCUGAAUUUUGAGCUGCAGUAGGUGGAAACUGGCAACCACCUUCACCUACAUUGCCCACCUUGGUUGACUUGCACCCCCCCAUCUCAGGCUAUAUAAAUGUGAUGGGUGCUAUGUUGUCUGAGAGUUUGGAAGUGUGUGCAGAGUGAGCAGAGCUGCGUGCAUUAGUGUGCGAGGCAGAACAAAGUGUUGUGAGAGAAAGAGAGAGAUAGUUGAGUUGAGAGUAGUAGCCUCCUCCUCCUCAUUGUAAUCAUUCUUCGGUUAUAGUGAGAUUGGUGUGUUCUGUGGAUGUAGGUCAGAUUGGACCGAACCACGUAAAUCGGGUGUUCUAUUUUUGUUAUUUAUUUUUGCUCGUGUGUGAUUGUUGCUUCUAGAUCCACCUCAACAAUACCUAAACCUCAACGACCUCAGUAACCCAUUUCGUUUGGACAACGGAGACAACCUUGCCAUGAUUGUGGUCACCGAUUUGCUUACCUCCAAUAACUAUGCUACCCGGUAGUGUGCUAUGUGGCGUUCCCUUUGUGCCAAGAAUAAAUUGGGUUUUAUCACCGACACCAUCUCUCGACCCACCAAACCAGAGGAUCCUUUUCUUGAGCUCUGGGAACGUUGCAACAACAUGGUAGUUUCGUGGCUUCAAAAUUCCAUCAGCCCAUCCAUCAAGUCUAGCAUGAUGUUGAUGAUGCUUGCUACAUCUAGCUGGAUCUUCAGGAUCGAUUUUCUCAUCAAAACAGGCCUCGCAUUUACCAGCUCAAGCAAGCCUUAGCUCGCCUCCUUCAAGAGAAUGACUUUGUAAGCAUCUAUUAUGGUAAGCUCAAAACCCUUUGGGAUGAACUGUCAAUCUACGAUCCCCUUCCCAUCUGCACUUGUGACUCUCUGAAAUCCCUCACUAACCGUCACCAAUGCGACUGUGUCUUUCAAUUUCUCAUGGGAUUGAAUGACACCUAUUCCCCUGUUCGGGAUCAAAUCAUGCUCUUGGACCCUUUACCCCCUAUCACAAAAGUCUUCUCACUCAUCCAACGGCAAGAAUGCCAACACCAAAUUCUCCCAGCUUCAAAUCUUUCCCUUGAUUCCAUGGCCUUUGCCAUCAAAAUAGCUUUCCAAUUUACCCCUAAACCGUCACCCUAAUCCAAACCAAACCGGAAGAAAAAGCAUACUUACUGCACACAUUGCAGAAUUACUGGACAUUCUUUUGAGAAUUGUUUCAAAACUGGUAAUGCAGAGCCUCAUGUGUGUUUUUACUGUCACUUAUCUGGACACACAAUGGAGAAAUGUUACAAGUUGAAUGGGUACCCACCAGGCCACAAAUUCUACAAUAAAAUCCCAAACCCUGCUGUGUUUGCCACUUAGACUACUCCAAGUCUUGCCUCUGACCUUGAGGAUCUCAGUGAUGAUCGAGUUGGUCUGACUAAGUCCCAGUAUUAACAAUUGAUGGCCCUACUUCAGCCAAGGGAGUCUCCCACUGCGGCUCAGCCCUCAGCUAAUAAGAUUCAGUCCAACAUUCAUCCAGCUUCAGCUUCUCAGAUUUCUGGUAUCUCCUUUUGCUUAUCCACAUUCACACACAACUCAUUGCACACUCGAGACACUCAUUGCUUGUGCUAUAGAUCACAUGGUCUACUGCACCUCCUCCCUCACAAAGAGCAGUGCCUAGGUUUCUUAUUCUGUCAAACUACCAAAUAGGACUGAAGUCCUUGUCACUCACACAGGUAGUGUCCAACUCACAUCCUCAAUAUAUAUCACAGACGUUUAAUGUGUCCCUUCCUUUCAACUUAAUCUCAUUUCAGCCAAGAAAUUAGCUGCUACACUCACAUGUUGCCUGUUUUUAUUCUCUGAUUUUUGUCUUAUCUAGGACCUUUUAUCUUGGACAACGAUUGGGAAGGGUGAAGUGAGGAAUGGUCUCUACUACCUGCUCAGAACUGCAGUCUCUCCUUCUACUCUAGCUACCACUCUCACACAUUUUUUCCAUGCCAAACCCUUAAUUUCUGCAUCAGUUCUGAGUCCUGCUAGUGCCACUGACCUAUGGCAUUGUCGCUUAGGUCAUCUUUCAUUUCUUGUUUUAACUUUAAUUUCAGAUCCCAUUGUAAAGAAAAAUAUCACCUCUAAUGAAAAGCCUUGUUGCAUUUGUCCAUUGGCUAAGUUACAUCGGCUUCCAUUCUCUCACAGCAUCCACAAAACCUCAAAACCUUUUUCAAAUAGUGCACUGUGAUCUAUGGGGACCAUGUUUAACUACUGCUUAUGAUGAUUCUAGAUUUUUUCUCAUCUUAGUGGAUGAUUUCACUAGAAGCAUAGCUAUACCUUCUCAAAAAUAAAUCAGAAACAAGAAAGACCAUUGAAGCUCUCUCUAAUCUUGUUGAGACCCAAUUUGAACUACAAAUCAAAAUAUUGAGAACUGACAAUGGCCGUGAAUUUCUCAUGACAGACUUUUUCAACUCCAAAGGUAUUGUGCAUCACACCACUUGUGUUGCCACUCAACAAAAUGGAAUUGUUGAGAGGAAGCACCAACACAUACUUAAUGUGGCUCGUGCUUUAAAACUCCAAGCUGGUCUCCCACUUGAAUAUUGGAAUGAUUGUGUGUUGACAACAACCUACUUGAUAAAUAGAACACCUAGUCCACUUCUCAAGAAUAAAACUCUCCCUCUGUUUUGCGUCCACCCUUCCCAUGGUAGGAAAAAUUUUUGUUGGCAUUGGUGUGAUCCCAAGAGGGGAGGUGAAUUGGGUUUUAAAACAUUUUUCCCUAAUUUAAACAAUCACGCCGAUUCACCAUAUAUCAUAUCUCGUUCAAUAUUAAACACGUGUAUGUAAAAUGAUUACGUUAUUGGUUCAAGCAUACACGUGUAUCUCAUUCAAGGUAAAUGUGUGCAUGCAACUAAAUAUAACAGUAAAUGAAUGGGCAUACACAUAUUGAAUUUAAAGUACAGUAAUUUAAAUGAGAUAGGGAGAGAGAGACACAAGAUUUGUUAUCGAGGUUCGGCCAAAAACCAGCCUACAUCCCCGCCUUGGGCAUACCCCCUAGGAUUCCACUAAACCUGCUCACUUAACCGGGUAGAGUAAAAGCCUUUUACAUCCUCUCCUUACGGGGUGAGGAAAACCCCAGUUUAAUUACUAGGCUGAGCCAAACUAGUCUCACUUACAAGGCUGAGACUCCCCAGUUCAAUUCCAGGCUGAACCGAACCGGUCUCACUUACGGGGCUGAGACUCCCCAUUUCAAUUAACGGGCUAAACCCAACUGUUACAUAAAAACCAUUUUGUACAUGAAAGUGCUUCUGAAAAAUACAAGCAGAAAUGUACACACUAAGCUCAAUAAAAUACACACUUCAAUGAUAUGAAAUAAUGUUUAAGGGAGUAAGGGUGCUUAACUAUAUUUAAACCCUAAUAAAAAGUUUUCUCCAAAAAGAUACUUCAAUAAAAUUAUAGGAGAACUUAGGGUUUUUCUCUUUCAAUGAUUUUUGCACAAAUAUAAUGAAUAUGAAGAAUGAGUAUUAUGUUCUCCAACAAAGAUUUAUGCAAGUUAGAAAUACUUGGAAAAUUUAGGAGUUAAGCUUAAUAAAAUAUUUGUGCAAUAAAUAACUUCUCCCAAAAUAUAUUUAUCAAGGAAAUAAUCCGAGAGAAAUCCAGAGCUAUACUCUCAAAAGAAUAAAUGAGAGUAAGCAAGUGAAUACAAAAAUAAUUUGCCCAAAAUAAAUAUACUCUCUUACAAAAUGAUUUUGAAAAAAAUGGAUGAAAAGAGAGUUUGAGAGUUUAAGACAAGUGCUCUUUUUCAAAAAUUAUUUUUCAAAUAUAGAGAGUGAAAGAGAGUAUAAGAGAUUAAGAAUAUUUUACCCCAAGAAAAGAUUUUUUUUAAUGAAAAAUUAAUUUGGGGGAACUUUGAUAAAAAUUAGCCUAAAAGAUUAGAGAGAGAAAUUUGGCUAAUCAAAAUUGUUAAUCUGAGUUAUGGAGGGGGUAUUUAUAGAUUUUCAACAAAUCUGACCGUUGGGGGACACGCUCGGUAUUUUGGAAAAGUUGAAUUAAGUUUAAUUACGUUUUAAACACUUAAAAAAUAUUUCAACCCAAGAGCAUCGGUCGACCAGGCAUGAAAUGAACUAAAGGUUCGGUCAAUCGGACAUCUAAGUCCGAAGGCGAUUUUCCAAUUUAGUGCGGUUUGGUCGACCGGGACAUUUUGAACUGAGAAGUUUGGUCGAUCAGGUAGUUGGGGCAUCUCCUGAGGACCCUUGGUUGACCAGAGCGUUGGAGUACAUUUUGGGUUCGGUCGACCAGGUGGUCAAAAAGUUGACUCCAAGGGAGUUCGGUUGACCGGGUGUAAAUGAAUUGUCAAAUUCGGUCGACCGGGGCCAAAAUGAACUACCUAGUUCGGUCGACCGGACUGUGGUCAACUAGUUGACCUGGUCCGGGUUUGGUCGACCGGGGCAUUUUGUACAUGGUAGUUCGGUCGACCGAGUGUGCACAUUUUGUGCAUUUCGGUUCUGUUUGAGCCAACGAUCACCCUAUUUCAAAUGACCAAAUAUGGGUAUGCAUGAGUGAGUGUCUUAAGGUCAUUUCUAGGUCCUUUUUGAAGACACCAAAAAAAUCUGAUGUCGGUCGACCGUUUUCGUAAACUUCGUUUUAACCCCGAUUUUGACCCUAAAGUUAUUCCAAAAACUUUGUAUGAUUUUGGUCUAUUUAGAAAAGAGUUUUUGGUGUGAUGUGCUGGUCCCUAGGGUCUAUCUACGGUUGUUCUAAGCAUUCAUACACAUCAUGCAGAUGCAUGCAUUAUUACAGACCAAAGAUAUAAAAUUAAAUGCAAUUACAUAAAACACAAAUGUCUUCUUCUUCUUUUUGCUCUUCUGACUUCAUGGAAUACGCCGGAAAAAUAUGAUUUUGUGCUCCUCCAGGUUUCCAUGUCCUUCACCUCAUGUGUGUGCUGAAUCAUGAAUCUUUCAAAGAUACUAAGUGCACACAUGAGAUACUUGUGCUUUAUCAGCAUCAAAACAGGGAUCGGAUUAAAAAAGUCAACAAAUUUGAUCCCUGAGGUCACAUGUGCAUUUUUCUUGGUCACCCCUUUGGUACCAAAGGAUAUAAACUACUUGACAUUGAGUCCAAAACCAUUUUUAUUUCUCGGGAUUUUAUAUUCCAUGAGUCGAUUUUUCCUUUUCAAUCCUUGCCCAUCCCUACUUCCACCACACCCUCUAAUCCUAGCUUUGUUUUCUCUCAACCUUUACCUAAUAACAUUGAUUUUCCCUCCUCCACUCCCCCCUCCAAUCCCACUGACCCCCCAGAAACCAUGGCACCAUUGCUGCCCUCUACAUCAUCUCAUCCAUCUCCUCUCAACUCUAGCACAUCUCCUCUCCAUUCUCAUACAUCUCCACCCCUCCCUAGCCCUUCAAAUACUCCACCACUGCGCAGGUCAACUAGACGAAGGAGAGCUCCCCAGUACUUGCAGGAAUUUCACUGUGACCAGGCCUCAUUUUCAGCUUCAGAUCAAUCGUUGCCCAAGGUUUCUGCACCUCCUACUGGCAAGCUGUGGAACACCCUGGCUGGUGUCAGGCCAUGAAUAAUGAGCUGGAAACUUUAGAACAGAACCAUACUUGGAUUUCAUUGAUUUACCUCCUGGAAAAGAUGCCAUUAACUGCAAGUAUGUCUACAAAACCAAGUUUAAUUCUGAUGGCUCAGUUGAGAGAUUGAAAGCAUGACUUGUUGCCAAAGGUUUUACACAACAAGAGAGCAUAGAUUACACGGAGACUUUUUCCCCCGUAGCUAAACUUGUAACAGUGCGGGUUUUGCUCUCGGUGGCAGCCAUUCAAGGAUGGUUUCUUCAUCAAUUUGAUGUUAACAACGCUUUUCUCCAUGGAGACUUAGAAGAGGAGAUUUAUAUGCGCACACCCCUGGGAUACAACAAAGGAGGACCUCACCAAGUAUGCAAGUUGCUUAAGAGCCUUUAUGGCCUUAAGCUAGCCUCAAGACAAUGGUAUUCAAAAUUCUCAUCCUCUCUUAUUGCUUUUGGUUUUCAGCAAUCUCAAGCCGACUAUAGCCUCUUACCAAGCUUGAUGGUGCUGCUUUUACUGCCUUAUUAAUCUAUGUGGACGAUAUUAUUGUGGCUGGAAAUUGUCCCACAACCAUCACAGCUCUCAAGUCUUUCCUUAAUAGCCACUUUUAGAUCAAUGAUCUUGGUUCCUUAUGCUAUUUUCUUGGCUUGGAAGUUGCCUGAUCUUCUAAAGGAAUUCACUUAUGCCAACGUAAAUAUGCAUUGGAUAUUUUGGCUGACUCAGGAACCCUUGGCGGCAAACCCACCAAGCUGCCUAUUGACCAGAAUUUUAAAUUGAGCAAGGAUUCCAGUGACCCCAUUUCAGAUCCGAGCUCUUAUAGGAAGCUCAUUGGUCGCUUAUUGUAUCUAACCCUCACUCGGCCUGAUUUGUGCUACAUUGUCCAGCUCCUUAGUCAAUUUAUGGACAACCUGAGGACUCAACAUUUGGCCGUUGCACACAAAGUCCUGCGAUACAGCAAAGCUGCCCCGGGACAAGGUAUUUUGCUGCCCUCAACCUCUUCACUUCAGCUUAAAGCUUAUUGCAACUCGGAUUGGGCUUCAUGCCCCGACACUCGUCGAUCUAUUACAGGAUAUUGUAUCCUUCUUGGUGAUUCACUUGUUUCUUGGAAAACAAAAAAGCAAACUGUGGUAUCUCGUUCAUCAGUUGAAGCCGAGUACCGUUCCAUGGCCUCCACUUGUUCCGAACUCACUUAGUUGCGCUACUUGGUUUCUGAUCUCAGAAUUCCACAUCCACAAGCUGCAGUCCUUUAUUGUGACAACCAAGCCGCUCUUCACAUAGCUGCCAAUCCGGUUUUCCAUGAACAGACUAAGCAUACUGAGUUGGAUUGCCACCUAAUAAGAGAUAAAAUUCAAGAAGGAGCUGUCACCACAGCUCAUAUUGCAUCCCCAUACCAGCUCGCUGACAUUUUUACAAAGGCAUUGCCCUCUUACCUUCUCCAACGGCAUUUACCCAAGAUGGGAAUAGUGAAUCUCUAUUCUCCAUCUUGCGGCUAUUACAGAAUGAGGGUCAACACCAAGCUGCAGGAUGACCAACUAACCAGCUAUAUUCUUUUUUAUUUUUUUAUUUGUUGAUUAUUCCUUUUUAUUAUUAUUUGUACCUUUUUUCCUUUAUUAAGUUGCCUUCUAUUUUGCUGGUGUAUAAAUCAGUUAGUUUGUUAGGAUUUUUUGUAUAUAAGUCAGAUGCUGUAUCUGAACAGGAACUAAGGGAAAUUUUGAGAAAGCAUUUCCAGAAUUCCUUGCCUCA